rnacentral:rRNA from 1 species
UACAGAGGGUGCGAGCGUUAAUCGGAAUUACUGGGCGUAAAGGGCGCGUAGGCGGUUAGAAGAGUGUGAUGUGAAAGCCCCGGGCUUAACCUGGGAAGCGCAUUGCAAACGAUCUGACUGGAGUAUAUGAGAGGGUGGUGGAAUUUCCGGUGUAGCGGUGAAAUGCGUAGAGAUCGGAAGGAACGUCAAUGGCGAAGGCAGCCACCUGGCAUAAUACUGACGCUGAGGCGCGAAAGCGUGGGGAGCGAACAGG